rnacentral:rRNA from 1 species
UACGUAGGGUGCGAGCGUUAAUCGGAAUUACUGAGCGUAAAGCGUCCGUAGGCGGUGCGGCAAGUCGGAAGUGAAAUCUCUGGGCUUAACUCAGAGGCUGCUUCCGAAACUGCCGUGCUCGAGUGUGGGAGAGGCGAGUGGAAUUGCAGGUGUAGCGGUGAAAUGCGUAGAUAUCUGCAGGAACACCAGAGGCGAAGGCGGCUCGCUGGACCACAACUGACGCUGAGGGACGAAAGCUAGGGGAGCAAACAGGAUUAGAAACCCUGGUAGU